UGCGUAGGCGGCUUUUUAAGUCGGAUGUGAAAUCCCCGAGCUUAACUUGGGAAUUGCAUUCGAUACUGGGAAGCUAGAGUAUGGGAGAGGAUGGUAGAAUUCCAGGUGUAGCGGUGAAAUGCGUAGAGAUCUGGAGGAAUACCGAUGGCGAAGGCAGCCAUCUGGCCUAAUACUGACGCUGAGGUACGAAAGCAUGGGGAGCAAACA
rnacentral:rRNA from 2 species